UACGUAGGGUGCAAGCGUUUGUCCGGAAUUAUUGGGCGUAAAGAGCUCGUAGGCGGUCUGUCGCGUCUGCUGUGAAAACUCGGGGCUUAACCCCGGGCCUGCAGUGGGUACGGGCAGACUAGAGUGCGGUAGGGGAGACUGGAAUUCCUGGUGUAGCGGUGAAAUGCGCAGAUAUCGGGAGGAACACCGGUGGCGAAGGCGGUUCUCUGGGCCUUACCUGACGCUGAGGAGCGAAAGCGUGAGGAGCGAACAGG
rnacentral:rRNA from 1 species